rnacentral:misc_RNA from 1 species
GAAAUGCGAAAAGUAAUGCGAUUUGCAUGAAUCUGUGAGUCAUCAAGUCUUUGAACGCACCUUGCACCGUAUGAGCAAUUGUACGGUAUACCUGUUUGAGAAUCGUAAAACCCUCUCUUAACCGGUUUACCCCGAUUAAGGAUUUGUUAGCUGUACAGCAAUGUACUCUAAUCAAAUGUAGUAGGUUUAGUUCAGGCUGGUGGCCUGGGACACUAUGUGAUAGAGACCCUCUGGUCUUCUCAUGGUGCGUCCCGGGUCAUUCCAAAGCUGGCCUGGUCCGCUAGACCUUCAACGCCCCUCGGGGCAACACUUUUCUCUUUUGAUCUCAAAUCAGGUAGGGCUACCCGCUGAACUUAA